rnacentral:lncRNA from 1 species
UUCCAUUGACAAUAUUUCAUUAUUGGACAGUUUGUGGAGCUGGGUAUAGUGACAUCAAUUGAAGUGAACCACAAGCAAGUGGAGUCGGCACGCAAGGGGCAAGAGGUGUGCAUCAAGAUAGAUCCGAUCCCCGGCGAGUCGCCCAAGAUGUUCGGCAGACAUUUCGACGAGACUGAUAUGCUAGUCAGCAAGAUCUCACGCGCGAGUAUCGACGCGUGCAAGGACUACUUCCGUGACGACCUCAUCAAGACGGAUUGGCAGCUGAUGGUGGAACUCAAGAAACUCUUCCAGAUACUCUAAAUAUGCCCAGAGUUCAUUAGCUUUUGAUCGAUCGCAGAGUUGAAUAGUAGAACGGUCGACUCUUAAAAUAAUUAUCCUUUUUUUUUUUCAAUAAAAUAAUGAAAAUCGUGUCUUAUACAAUCGAGUGUUACCAACAAAAUUUAUUGUUAUAAGUUUUUGUUUAUGUCUAACACAACCUCUCUACUAGUUUGUACUCUGCUUAUACAAUGGUGUAGUUACACUAGCUUUUUUGUCUAUUCCAUCUAACCGCAAACCAAACGGCGUCAUCACAGAGGUUCUCUAUUUUACAGUUUUGUAACCUGUAUACCUAGCAUGAUAUCAUGAGCCAUAUUAUAAAAAGAAUUAGUACCGCCAUGUUUAGUAUCUCGAAAUAUUAGUUAGAAAAUAUAAUGAACGGAUUUCUAUAAUGAGAGUCACAUUGUACAUAUAGUAUUAUACACAUUUUAUUUAUUUAAUGUUGUUGCCAACCUUAGGUAUCUUGAUAUUUGGACCCAACGUUAGUUUUUGUUUGUGACUGAUAUCUCGAAAUUGUGGUUCUGAUGCUUCAUAUAAAGAGUCAUCUGUACAUAUUCAUUAUGAAUUAUUUACAAAAAUGUAAUGCGUGUAAAUAAAUUAAAUAACAUUAACAUCAACGCCAAGUGUUUACGUAAUAUUAUUACUGAUUAUAGUGCAAUAAACGAUCUCGUUUGUAAUUAAAUGUGUCUUUACGUAGGGCAAUAUCUGUUUCUCCACGGUGCUUCUAUUGUAGAUGACGUAUAUCGAAUUUUAUUAUUAAUUCCAGUAGUUCCAAUGAUAUAAAUCCACGAUGAACUGAUUCGAGGUGGAACUCCGAUUGACAUCUAUAGAUACCGCAUGCGGGGCAAUGUAACGCGUACCACAUACUACUAGUAUGUGCAUUUCUAAAUAUUUUUUAUAGUUUUUUUUUACAAUGUAGUAAAAAAGUUGAUGAAUAACAAUAACGUUUAUCGUGUAAUAAACGGUUGAACAGAAUCGGUGUGUAUAAUCGACGCACUAUAUACUCUCUUUAUGUCAGUAGCACAAAUAAUAUAUGUACUAUACUUAAAGUAUUCAUCUUUAAAAAAUGUUCCGCGUUAAGACUUUAUUGUGAUCUGAUAUAAUUUACAAUCGAAGACCACCCAGUCGUUGGUAUUCGCUGGCCUGUACUAAAGCUUUAACAUGCGGUAUUUUUAGGUGGUAAUCUCUGAAAUGAAAUGGAUGCACUGGUCUGAAUGUUGUGCGUAAGAGUUGUAUGGGAGGUCGUCUAUUGUACAAAAUUGCGGUUUGACAAGGUGAACGUAUGUGGAUAUUCCUAUUCUUUUAAAGCGAAUUCUACAAGCUGGACGCGAAUGAGGAACGCAGGACGAGAAUCCAUUGUGAAGGUACAGAAGGUUGUAUUUUAUAUGUAGGUAUUUUCCCUUUUUGAAAUGCUUUGUAUUAUAUAGAUGGAAUCGGACAUAUUCUUAUAUUGAAGAAAUUUUAUUAAACCACUUAAUAUUUAUA